rnacentral:rRNA from 1 species
UACGUAGGGGGCAAGCGUUGUCCGGAUUUAUUGGGCGUAAAGAGCGUGUAGGCGGCCGUACAGGUCAGCUGUGAAAACUCGAGGCUCAACCUCGAGACGUCGGUUGAAACCGUACGGCUAGAGUCCGGAAGAGGAGACUGGAAUUCCUGGUGUAGCGGUGAAAUGCGCAGAUAUCAGGAGGAACACCGAUGGCGAAGGCACUUUACUGGGCUAUUACUAACACUGAGAGACGAAAGCUAGGGUAGCAAAUGGG